AUAAACUCUUCCAGUGCCCCCGGGACUUCCAAGAUGUUUGGAAUGAGGAACAGUGAGAUCUGGGAGAAGGUUUCUUUACUCUCUCCUUUCCUGGGCCAAUCGUGUAUCUGCCAAUCAUGGACUGCCAUGGUGAUGGACUGGUCAGAACUUCAGUUUCUUUUGCUGAACCCAAGCCUGAGGGAAAGCUCAGCCAGAGCACCACGGGAAAACAUGCUGUGUGCUGCAAGAGAGCCUUUCGCAAAGACAUCUGUCCUUCAGCUGAGGGCCACCAAUGGCAAGGAGAGCCCUGUUUGCUUCUCAGCUGGGAGAUGGAAAAAAGUGAAGAGGACUACAGAGAAAAAUAAGAACUACACAUUUGGACUUGAGAAAGGAGGGGGCAUCAUCAUUAAGAGGACCCACUUGGUUAAAAAGUCCAGAGUGAAGGAUCUAGAAACUAGUGGACAUCAUCAGAGACUAAGAUAUGGAUCUAACGAGAAGGUGGGCCCAUCAUCCCUGGAAAAGAUUCCUGGGGUGGUGUGCGAAAGCGGAUCAUAACGUUGCAUACUUUUAUAAAUUCACCACCCCUUCUGGUCAGCUACUGGGGAAUAAAGGACAGAGAGGAUACCCAGGUAAGGAUUCCAUUAUCUUAAGAAUAAAAGGCUGGAUAUAAACAUUGAUGCUAAUGUACCACUUUUGAAAUACUU